GUUGAUGGCAGCACCACAGUGCGGACGCCUGGCCGAUCGCGGAGCGCAGCCAUCCGCCGCUGCCCAGGGAGCGCCCAAGAUGUGGGGGGACUGGGGUGGAAGCGGCUGUAGCAGCUCCAGAGACGGGGGCGCGCAGCAGCAUUUGCUCGCCCGCCUGUCCUGACCUGCGUCGCUUGCCCCCAAAGAAUGUCAGCCAAGUCCAAGGGGAACCCCUCCUCGUCCUCUCCAGCCGAGGGACAGCCGGCAGCCUCCAAAACCAAGGUGAAGGAACAAAUCAAGAUCAUCGUGGAGGAUCUGGAAUUAGUCCUGGGCGACCUGAAGGACGUGGCCAAAGAACUUAAGGAGGUGGUUGACCAGAUUGAUACCCUGACCUCUGACCUACAGCUGGAGGAUGAGAUGACAGACAGCUCCAAAACAGACACACUGAAUAGUAGCUCCAGUGGUACCACGGCCUCCAGCAUAGAGAAGAUCAAAGUGCAAGCUAACGCACCUCUUAUUAAACCGCCAGCGCACCCAUCUGCUAUCCUCACAGUCCUGAGAAAGCCAAACCCUCCACCACCUCCUCCACGGUUGACACCUGUGAAGUAUGAAGACCCUCAAAGGGUGGUGCCAACUGGCAAUCCUGUCAAGACCAAUGGCACCCUUCUACGGAAUGGAGGCUUACCAGGUGGACCCAAGAAAAUUCCAAAUGGAGAUAUCUGCUGCAUACCCAAUAGUAACUUGGACAAGGCUCCAGUGCCGCCUCUGAUGCACAGACCUGAAAAAGACAGGUGUCCCCAGGCAGGGCCUCGGGAACGAGUACGAUUCAAUGAAAAAGUGCAGUACCAUGGCUAUUGUCCUGACUGUGAUACCCGGUAUAACAUAAAAAACAGGGAGAUCCACUUACACAGUGAACCUAUCCACCCACCAGGAAAGAUUCCUCUCCAAGGCCCUCCCCUCCCUCCUCCACCCCAUCUUCCUCCUUUCCCCCUAGAAAAUGGGGGACUGGGAAUAAGCCACAGUAACAGCUUCCCCCCUCUCAGACCUGCAACUGUGCCUCCUCCCACUGCACCAAAACCACAGAAGACCAUCUUGAGGAAAUCAACCACUACAACAGUGUGAUGUAUGCCAUUUAAAAAACUUUUUGGUUUUAUUUUUAUUUUCUAUAUUAUAAGCAUAAAAAUAAUAAGUAAUGAGCACUUUCUACUCAAGCAAUAAAAAGCCCAAAUAAACUAAUCCUGCAUUCAACAAAGUGGCAUAAAAACCACCUGAACAGAAAAGAGUCUUGAUGUAGUGCUCCUUCAAGUCGGAAGGAAUACCUUUAUGGAGGCAUGUCGAUUCAUUUUUCUCACUUCAGAUUCAUCAUUAUGACUUCCUGAGGCCAGAUCUAAUUUUAAAGUAACCAGGAAUCUGAUCAUCCCAGAGCAGCAAAUUCCUCAACUUUGGAGCACAAAUGAUCACUGAUAGGCUCUGCAUAAAAUCGUCUGCCUCUAGUUUGACAUCUGUGAGCAGAGCCCUGGGGAAAAAGCCACAGCCUUAAACCUCUUCACUCAAAAAUUACCAAGAAGAUAAAAUAUAUAGAUAAAAAGGACUGAAUAAAAAGCCAACAUAUAAAUAAAAACCAAACAAAACUCAUUUUACUAUGGAAAUAAAAUAUUCCCAAAUGUGAGUCCCCCAAAUUUAAAAUUCAGCAAUUUAUCUACUAAAUUGUAAAUUGAUUUAUCGUUUUGGAAGGUAAAGGGACAGAGAUAGGAGGUAUCUCUAGUCAGAAGUACUCAUUAUUUCAAAAUAUGUAGACAAAAAUAGAACUGAGCAAGCAGGAACAUUGCAGCAUUGGCAGUGUUAGGACAGAAGGAUGCUGUUUGCAGAAAAGAGGAUGUUUGCCAUCUUGUGUACACCCUCAAAGCCAUAAUGGAAUUGCAGCAUUGUUACCAAUUGUUUGAAAAGUUUCCGCAUUCGAUCUUCAUCCCACAUUGGUUAAGAGAGAGGGAAGGUCAGUUCUUAUUGAUCCCUUCUCCAUGCACCCCUGAUAUUUGCACUGUCCCUUCCAUUCAGGUUAAUGAUGUGUACUCUGUUUAUUUGCACAGAUGGUCUCAUGAGUUUUGAGACCACAGCAAGCUGUUUCUUGCAAGAGUCCAAAAGGAAAACCUUGUGAAUUAUCAAAAUAUUGUUUCCUCUUUCCCCUAUAAAAUUCAGUUAUCUAAAGAAAUGUACCUUUCUCAGAUCUUUGUUUUUAAAUCUAAAGAAUGAUGAAAGAAUUAGUGUGAUCAAAUGAAUGAAAAAGAGAUAAAAAAAUUUCAUGAAUAUUGUUUUAUAUCAUUCACAGCCAAGAAGUACAGCAAACUGCACACUACACAUUUCUGUUGAACAUCUAUUUGUUCUCUUACUUAAUUAAAGUCAUUUGUAAUUUGUAUUUGACAUACAACAGUUUUUUAUAGCCAUUUAUCUAUGCUUCAUGGAAAAAUGUACCAGAUAAGCAAACAGCAUUUUCAGUUUAUUUUUCUAAAUAAAUGUGUUGUUUGUAAUAUUUGUAGUUGUUUAUUUAAUUUGGUUUUCAUUAUCUGGAAGAUAUGACCUUCUUUAGGAAUAUUUUAUUAUAUUAACAUAAAAUUAUCAGGAGACUAAAAUCUAACAUUUUUAUAGUAUAAAUUAUGCUAUUUUGUAAACUGUGAAAAACUGAUAUAUUUUUCACUCUGACUUUCUUGUCAAGGGCUAUUUUAAUUCAUUGUUAUAUUAUCAGGAAUUAGUGUUCAUACAAAGGAACAUUGCUGCAAAACAGAAAGUCUAGGCACUGUAUCAGUAAGAAAUUUUCUUAGAAAACUACUUUAGUAAUAAAAUUAGCUAAAAAAACAUGUAGGCCAUUAAUCAUAUCUAAUGAAUCCUAUUUUCCCCACCCAAAAUUUGUUGACAACAUACAUAAUUAUAUUUAAAAUUACUAGUUAAUCAAAUGAACAAAAAUGGAGUUCUCAAUAAACAAAUGUUUAUGGAGGGGCUACAAAAUGUCCAUGUUUACUUAUGACUCAUGAGCUGGAUCCAGUAAGCAGUUUGAAGUUCAAAUGAAUCAUUUUUAACAACUAAAAGAAUAGGUCAUCAGGUUUAUUCCUAAACCAUGAUCUAAAGCCAAAUUCCCAUUAUAUUGUUCUGCACACUUAAAUUGGUUUAUUCUGCACAUUGUCUCUUGGUAUUUACAGCAUCCCAUAACAUAAUGAAGAAAAUUAGUUUGUCACGCAUGGUUUAAACCCCCUGAAAAUUAAGACAUAGUAUAUGAAAAUAAUGUAGCUGGAAAUCAAGUUGUCUGUUCCUGUGGGACAUUCAGAAUGGAAGUAGGGAUUCCUGGAUUCAUUUGAAUUCUUUUAAAAUUCAUGCUGAUUGCUUCAAAGUGUAAAUUAUUUGAAAUUACGAACAGGUUAAGUCAACCUUCCCUAAAACAUAUACAACCAUAUAAAGAGUAAAAACAGUAAGUAUAUAAAAAUGACAUAAUAAUAUAUCUAUCUGGUAAAACAAAUGUAGAUAGGUUUAACUUCCAAAAGACUGAGAUCCACUUUUUCUUGUAUCACCCCCACCACCCACAAAUAUAAAGAAUUUACUCGGACCCCCAAAACAAAGUGAUUCAGAAAAUUAUGUAAUAAAACAGCCUCUCAGUAUAUCCAAUUUAGUGAAAACCAGAAGAAAAAGGAGGUCAAAAUGAAUAUCAAAGAGAGUAGAAUUCCAACUAGAAAGUUAAAUAUGACUUUAGCAGCAGUUCUUGGUUAUAUACUUCUCAAUGAAGCUUUUAAAAAUCUAUUCACUAGGCAUAUAUAAAGUCAUAAAGACUUGAGCAACUCAGAAUAACAAUGAACAUAUAUUAAUGUGUUUAAGCUUAUUUUUCUUAAACUUUGUUUCCUUAUAUGGACCAGAAACCCCAAAUGACAACAGUAUCUUUAGUUCUGACGUUGGAACUCCAUAAAAUCAUCAGGAAUUAGACUUCUUCCAAUCCUUCACUCUGAAAUCCUUCAAACAUGACCUUUUUUCCUUAUGGUGCAAAACAAUUCCUAGGACAUGAGAUAUCACAUGCCUGUUCUAGGCAAAAAGGUGAGGUGAAAUUUCACCUUUUAUUUUUUAAUGGAUUUAUUGAAAAAUUUUCACACAAUAUAUUGGUUUAUGCAUCAUUGUUCAAACUGGCUACACCAGUAAUAGAAAGGCUAAGAAAUGUAACUCAUUUACCAACCGAAUGCAAGGCAAAGCCCUGGAUUCCAUCUGCAGCAAUGCACACACACACGCACACACACACACACACACACACACACACACACACACACAAAGAGAGAGAGAGAGAGAGAGAGAGAGAGAGAGAGAGAAGGUAAUCUUUUAACUGGGCACAUAGCCACAUCUAAUAUAUUUGGCAUUCUGAUACUAAGAGGCUGGAGGGAAUGAAAGAUAGUGUAUAUAACUAUCAAUUCUGCCACAUUACUUUUAAAAUGCAGCACCAAUUCAUCCCACCCUAUGUCAGUGGAAGAUAAUAGACAAUAAAUUACAUGCAAACAUGAGGGAAUGCAAUUUUCAACUUCUAUUUUAAAGAGCUAAAUAAUAUAGUGGAGUCAUACCACGUACACAUUUAAUCUUUACGGAUUCUACUGUACUUAUGUCUCUUUCUUGCUAUUAACACCCAAGAUUGGUAAUUUGGAGGACAUUAUAAAGUAUUGGUAUGCAAAGUAAUUCUAGAUAAAUGACUUGUGGGAACUUUUGUAGGGGGUUUUAUCAGUUUCUUUUUAUUUAGAGAAAAGAAACACCAAAAUUGUCUAACAACUUUUUCACUCAGUAAGUACUUAAUUUUGAGGUCAAACUUUUGCUGAAUCUAUGAAUGCAUUACUUAUAUUUUUAGGUUUGGGCAUAGCUAAUGAGAGAAUUUAUUAUUCAUCAGAGAUCAUGAAAAUAUCCUGGUAUUGCAGAGAUUUUGAUUAAGGAAAUGAAUACACUCCUAAAUUUAAACAUGUCUGAGCAUUUCAUGGGUUCCCUGGAAGAUGAACUUGCCUGCAAUUACAUGCACUUGCUUAACCACACCAAGACACAUUCUCUGGUGUUAUGCCAUUUACAAAUACAUAAAUUAAAACUAAAUCUAUUUGAAAUUAUUUGAAGUUUAGAGGUGAAAAAUAGCAGUGUAUUUCCUCAGAGAGAAGAAAGACUAUAAAUUGAAGACACUGAAAUCUUUUCAAGUUUGACAUAAAGCUUAUCUUAUAAUUAAAUUAAUGGGUUAAAAUGAUGGAAACAAACAUUUCUAAAGCUUGGAAACACGUGGGCCAACCUCACUUUAAUUUCUUUUUGGAUACUAUAUGAUAUAUUUGGAAUAGUAUCUAAAUAUUUCAAAAGUGUUUAUUUUUAUAUUGACUGAUGUGCAUAGUGAAUUUAUAGUUUGUUAUCUUGAUAUAUUUUUUCCUGAAUAAUUUGGUGUUUCUAUAGUUCAAUGCAAAUAAAAUGCAGAGUAAAUUACUUUGUGAAAUAUAAAAAUGAGACUGAAUUUCAUUUAAUACAUUAACUUCAUUUUAUUUAGAAGAUUUGCAAAGGGGAAAUAUGCAAUAUUUUAUCAUAACCCAAAGAAACACUUUAAUAUUUUGAAUUAAAACAUAUAGAAAUUGAGGACAAGGACCUUGGGCAUGAAAUAAGAAUAUACAUCACAUUUUACAUUAUUUUAAAUUUAUGUUUUUAUUUUGUUUUAAAAGAAUGUAUAAUUAAUUAUUAUAAGAUUAAAAUAUUACAUAUUAGAAAAAAGUUCUCAUUUACCAGCAUUCACACAUUGUUUCUCCAGAAGGUACUACAUAUUUUUUUGCAUAAAUUUAAAUAUCAACAGAAAGGUAGUAUUGAUAUAUAGUUGAAUAUGAGUAUGUAUCUGCUUUAUAUUCAUGAAAUCAGUUUUUUAAAAAAUAAAGAACACUAUGUUUUGGAAAUUUUAUUGUCUUAAGACCUUUUUAGGGACAUUUCAAUUUAAGAAUUUUAGUCAGUUCUCCACUAGCUGCUUUCUGGAUGUAUCAGGUCAUAUUGGAACAAUUUGGUUCUAUUCCAUUCUCUGGCUCCUCUUCUCACAAUGUAGGUAAGUAAGAACCUUACCCUUGCAAUCUGGUUACUUUGUUUUCUUUGUUAUUAAUUUAUUUUUGAUUGACACCUAAUAUAUGUAUAUAUGUAUGGUGUACAAUGUGAUGUUUUGGUUAAUGUAUAUGUUGGGUAAUGGUUAAAUCAAGGUAGUUUGCAUAUCCAUGGCCGUAUAAUUUUAUCAUUCCUUUAUGAUCAGUGCAUUAAAAGUCUUCUCUUCUAACUAUUUUGAUAUAUAAAAUGUGUCAUUCUUGACUAUAUUCAUUCUACUGUGUCACAGACCAUCAGGGUGCUAACUGUAAUAUUGUACCCACUGACAACUGCUUCCAACUCUGUCUUUUCUCUUGUCUCCCUAGGCUUUACUAACCAUCUGUCUACUCUCAAUUUCUAUUAGAUCAAUUUUUUUCUGAUUUCACAUUUAUAUGUAAUCAUUCAAUGUUUGUUUUCCUGUGCCUGACAUAAAAGUUAAUAUAAUGCUUUACCACAAGAAUUUGUUUUCAAAAUGAAGCUUGGAGAUCUUUCCAUCAUAAUCUAUAUCUAUCUAUAUGCUUGACUAUAGAAGUAUUAAGAAGAUAUAAAUGUGGAAAGAUUCAUAUAUAUAUUUCUCUAUAUAUCUUGUAAAUUUCAUUUGUAUUUCAAUGCAAAUGCUUGAUGAGAUUUUAAUUACUGAUAUCUCACUUAUGAAUAUUUAGGUUGCUUAGUUUUUUGUUCUUAGAAUCAAUACCACACUGACCACAUUUGGAUUCCCUAAGCACAGUGCAUAUUGAAAGGCGGAGCCUCAGUUCUUGUCUUUCUUUAAGACUACAGGUGAUCACUGUUAUAGCAUUUUAAAAUGCUGCAGAUUUCAAAAUAUUGUUAUUGUUAUUUGGUGUAAAUGGCAACAGUAUAUGAAAAGCUUCUUUUUCAUAUAAAAAAAUUCUGCUCAGAAUUUGGAAAUGAAACUAAGAAAAUAGAAAAGCCUAGAUUUUAGAGAUAAUAGGAGAUCUCACUGGGAAGGUGCCUGCUGAUACAGUAAUUAUUAUUUUCUAAAGGUGCAAAUGUAGGCAUUAGCUUUGGAAACAUAAGGACAGAAAAUAAAUAUAUCUAAAAACAAGACAUGCUCCUUAAUUAUGCUCACAAAUCAUUGUAAACUACCAUGUUUGUUAAAUCAUACUUACUUUGUGGUUUCUGUUAAUGUUGAGGCUUUCUUUUAAAGAGGCCAUUAAAAUUCUUUCUCUGGAAUGAAAUCAUGCUUUUGAGAGAAAACAGUUGUUCAAUUAGAGUAUAAAAUGUGAGAUGUGUUUUUCCAUGUGAGAAUUUAUGACUACUAUAUUUAGUCACAAAAUUGCCUCCCUUGGAAAUCCAACAAUUUCAUUAAGAAGAUUAUACAUCAUAAUUAAUGUAGGACAGCUAAAAAUGUCCAUUUAGGUAGCCUAACAACCAUUUUAAGGAAAAAAAUUAAUUUGAAUUUCAAAAGCCAAAAGAUUCUAUUUGCAUAUUUAAAAUAUUACUAUUCUUCCAAAUAGUGGCUACGUAUAUAGUUAUUAAAUUUUUAUUAUCAUGAACAAUUAACAGAUGAAUAGGUAAUUAAAAAUACUCUAGUUUCUCCAACAAAAAUUCCUCCUCCCCCUCACUACCAAAAGUGAAUAAAUAUAUAACAGAGAAAGAACAUUUAAUGUCAUUCCUUCAAAACAGAAGUUCACUUGAAAGGAAAUAAAUGCCUUUGCCACUGGA